rnacentral:rRNA from 1 species
UAACAACCUGGAAACAGAUGCUAAUACCGGAUAACAACAGAUGAUGCCUAUCAACUGUUUAAAAGAUGGUCUGCUAUCACUCUUGGAUGGACCUGCGGUGCAUUAGCUAGUUGGUAGGGUAACGGCCUACCAAGGCGAUGAUGCAUAGCCGAGUUGAGAGACUGAUCGGCCACAUUGGGACUGAGACACGGCCCAAACUCCUACGGGAGGCAGCAGGG